CGCGCCAGAGAGGGUGAGAGCCCCGUAAGCGAAAUCCAAAGAAGGCCUAUCAGUAUCCUGAGUAGGGCGGGACACGUGAAAUCCCGCUUGAAUCCGCGAGGACCAUCUCGCAAGGCUAAAUACUAACCAGUGACCGAUAGUGAACCAGUACCGUGAGGGAAAGGUGAAAAGAACCCCGGGAGGGGAGUGAAAGAGAACCUGAAACCGUGUGCCUACAAGUAGUCAGAGCCCGUUAACGGGUAAUGGCGUGCCUUUUGUAGAAUGAACCGGCGAGUUGCGUUAGUCAGCAAGGUUAAGUCAGAAAAGACGGAGCCGCAGCGAAAGCGAGUCUGAAGAGGGCGAGCAGUUGGCUGACGCAGACCCGAAACCAAGUGACCUACCCAUGACCAGGUUGAAGGCGCGGUAAAACGCGCUGGAGGACCGAACCCACGUAAGUUGAAAAUUGCGGGGAUGAGUUGUGGGUAGCGGUGAAAUUCCAAACGAACUUGGAGAUAGCUGGUUCUCUCCGAAAUAGCUUUAGGGCUAGCCUCGCAAAGAGGAUGCUGGAGGUAGAGCUCUGUUUGGACUAGGGGCCCGUCAAGGGUUACUGAAUUCAGAUAAACUGCGAAUUCCAGACAUUUAUGUGCGGGAGUCAGACUGCGAGUGAUAAGAUCCGUAGUCGAAAGGGAAACAGCCCAGAUCACCAGUUAAGGUCCCAAAAUUCAUGCUAAGUGGAAAAGGAUGUGGAGUUGCGCAGACAACUAGGACGUUGGCUCAGAAGCAGCCAUCAUUCAAAGAGUGCGUAAUAGCUCACUAGUCGAGUGACGCCGCGCCGAAAAUUUACCGGGGCUAAGCAUGAUACCGAAACUGUGGAUGUGCAUUUAUGCACGUGGUAGGAGAGCGUUCUAGCGGCGGUGAAGCAUGAC
rnacentral:rRNA from 1 species